rnacentral:rRNA from 1 species
UACGAAGGGGGCUAGCGUUGUUCGGAAUUACUGGGCGUAAAGCGUGCGCAGGCGGUUUUGUAAGACUGUCGUGAAAUCCCCGGGCUUAACCUGGGAAUGGCGAUGGUGACUGCAAGGCUAGAGUUUGGCAGAGGGGGGUAGAAUUCCACGUGUAGCAGUGAAAUGCGUAGAGAUGUGGAGGAACACCGAUGGCGAAGGCAGCCCCCUGGGUCAAAACUGACGCUCAUGCACGAAAGCGUGGGGAGCAAACAGG